ACCUUCCUAGUAUAAACAAUACAAGUGGCUUCCAACCACUAAAUCUUAAUUAACAUCUAAGGGAAGGUA
rnacentral:tRNA from 1 species